AUGAACGCUGGCGGCGUGCCUAAUACAUGCAAGUCGAGCGAACAGACGAGGAGCUUGCUCCUCUGACGUUAGCGGCGGACGGGUGAGUAACACGUGGAUAACCUACCUAUAAGACUGGGAUAACUUCGGGAAACCGGAGCUAAUACCGGAUAAUAUAUUGAACCGCAUGGUUCAAUAGUGAAAGACGGUUUUGCUGUCACUUAUAGAUGGAUCCGCGCCGCAUUAGCUAGUUGGUAAGGUAACGGCUUACCAAGGCGACGAUGCGUAGCCGACCUGAGAGGGUGAUCGGCCACACUGGAACUGAGACACGGUCCAGACUCCUACGGGAGGCAGCAGUAGGGAAUCUUCCGCAAUGGGCGAAAGCCUGACGGAGCAACGCCGCGUGAGUGAUGAAGGUCUUCGGAUCGUAAAACUCAGUUAUUAGGGAAGAACAAAUGUGUAAGUAACUAUGCACGUCUUGACGGUACCUAAUCAGAAAGCCUCGGCUAACUACGUG
rnacentral:rRNA from 1 species